rnacentral:rRNA from 1 species
GGACCCGCACAAGCAGCGGAGCGUGUGGUUUAAUUCGAGGCUACGCGCAGAACCUUACCAGGGAUUGACAUGGCUGUGGUAGUGAAGCGAAAGCGGAACGACCCUUCGGGGAGCAGUCACAGGUGAUGCAUGGCUGUCGUCAGCUCGUGCCGUGAGGUGUUUGGUUAAGUCCACUAACGAGCGCAACCCUUAGCCUCAGUUAUACGUGUCUGAGGCGACUGCCGGUAUUAAGCCGGAGGAAGGUGGGGAUGACGUCAAGUCCGCAUGUCCUUUAUAUCCUGGGCUACACACACGCUACAAUGGCCAGUACAAUGGGUCGCCAAGCCGCGAGGCGGAGCCAAUCCUAAAAAGCUGGUCUCAGUUCGGAUUGCAGGCUGCAACCCGCCUGCAUGAAGUCGGAGUUGCUAGUAACCGCAGGACAGCUAUACUGCGGUGAAUACGUUCCCGGGUCUU